CCUACGGGAGGCAGCAGUGGGGAAUAUUGGGCAAUGGAGGCAACUCUGACCCAGCAACGCCGCGUGAAUGAUGAAGGUCUUCGGAUUGUAAAGUUCUGUGAUGGGGGAUGAACACAAUGACGGUACCCCAAUAGCAAGCCACGGCUAACUACGUGCCAGCAGCCGCGGUAAUACGUAGGUUGCAAGCGUUAUCCGGAAUGACUGGGCGUAAAGGGUGCGUAGGUGGUUUAGUAAGUUGGCGGUGUAAUUCAGGGGCUCAACCUCGGCGUUACCGCCAAUACUGUUAGACUAGAGUGUAGGAGGGGUAGGUGGAAUGUAUGGUGUAGCGGUGGAAUGCGUAGAGAUUA
rnacentral:rRNA from 1 species